rnacentral:rRNA from 1 species
UACGUAGGGACCAAGCGUUGUUCGGAUUUACUGGGCGUAAAGGGCGCGUAGGCGGCAAUUCAAGUCAGCUGUGAAAUCUCCGGGCUUAACUCGGAACGGUCAGCUGAUACUGCUUUGCUAGAGUGCAGAAGGGGCAAUCGGAAUUCUUGGUGUAGCGGUGAAAUGCGUAGAUAUCAGGAGGAACACCUGUAGUGUAGACAGCUUACUGGACCACAACUGACGCUGAGACACGAAAGCGUGGGUAGCAAACAGG